AGGACGAACGCUGGCGGCGUGCCUAACACAUGCAAGUGGAGCGACGAACCAGGCUUCGGCCUGGGGCAGAGCCGCGAACGGGUGAGUAACACGUGGGUAACCUGCCCUGAUGAUUGGGACAACCCGAGGAAACUCGGGCUAAUACCGAAUGUGCCCUCCGGCCUCAAGGCCGCUGGGGAAAGGAAGCUUCGGCCUCCGCAUCGGGAUGGGCCCGCGGCCCAUUAGCUUGUUGGUGAGGUAACGGCUCACCAAGGCAACGAUGGGUAGCUGGUCUGAGAGGACGAUCAGCCACACUGGGACUGAGACACGGCCCAGACUCCUACGGGAGGCAGCAGUGGGGAAUCUUGCGCAAUGCGCGAAAGCGUGACGCAGCAACGCCGCGUGGGGGAAGACGGGCCUUCGGGUUGUAAACCCCUUUCAGCAGGGACGAAGCGAAAGUGACGGUACCUGCAGAAGAAGCGCCGGCUAACUACGUGCCAGCAGCCGCGGU
rnacentral:rRNA from 1 species